GUUAGUUAUGAAUAAAGAAGAGAAAUUGAUCAAAUUAGACACUAUAAUGAAGUUGCAACACUUCCAUCAUGAAGUUGCAACGCUCCGACGUCAGGUGGCGUACGAGCAGAGCGGAGUGAAGUCGGGAGUCACUACAGAGUCGUCGUGUCGAGCGGACGUGUACUGCCGUUCUAGUCGGGCAGUCUACCGCGAACCAUCGUCGUGAACGGACGUGUCGAAUAAUUACGAUCGGAACGUGGAGUGAUAUAGUCGCUCACCUAUAACUUGUAGGGACGUCAAGAAAGUGUGAUCGGAAAAGAGUACCUAGCAAGUACGUUCACAUGUCCCGAUGAUUCGGUCCGAAUAUAGGAACCAUGGGUGGUGGAGGGCAAGUAGAGGGCGAGUAGCCCCUUCGCGCUAACGUCCUUAUGCGCACUAGAUAACGAGAGACUGUGUAACCGUUACGAAUACCGUGACGUUGCCGUGAGUGUGUACCUUAUGCUGUGACUUUAUUUAAUCGUGAUACAAAAACUAUGUGGAAGUAAAUAAAAUGAUUGUGAUACUGAUGACGGCCAUUAUUGUCUUCUAACGCCCACCCUCCAUUCUGAUGAUGAUGUUACGACCGACACCCGACCCACACUGUUACGACAUCAGAAGCGGGAUUAGUGGACUAGGAUGAAGACAACGUGAUGUGACGUUCACAACAAGACAAUGCAAGUUUCGAUUAUCACAAUCAGAAGAAGAUUAUGAUGAUUAUCACAUUCGUGUGACUACGUGAUGAAGAUGUAGUGUCAUGCCUGACUUUGGAGAUGAACCUGAAUUUGAAGUGACCUGGACCUUGUUAAUGAUCGGCAUCACUACAUGCCGUAAGAUAUGAUGGCGUGAACAUCACAAUAUUUCCAUAAUGUGUGUAGUCGUGUUUGGAAAUUAUAGUACCUCAACUUGGAAACUGUUAUAACGGUGAGUCGUUUUCAUACUGGAACCUUAUUGUUUUUUUACUUCAUUGCUAUGUGAAUUUUCGUUUCUAAUAAUGAGGAAAUUGAUUUAAAAUUAACUUGGAAAUUACUAUUUCCCUUUGUUUAAAAAGAAAAUUGACGAGACAUAUUGUGUCAAUCCGUGUCAAUCAUACCGCGUUUUCCAAUCUGUUUUCAUCAUCGUCAAAUCUUUGUAUUUUGGUCUAAAAAUAUUUCGAAUUGGUGUAGACACGCUUAACCUGGGUGGUUAAAGUUGUAUUUUCUCAAUCCAUGCGAAAAGAAAUUAAUCAUGACAUGAUAAUUGAGUCUCGAUAAAUAACGUGUUUUGUAAUCUACCGUCAUUCAUCAAAUGUUUCAAAAUUCAACAUUCUUUAUUGAAAUCUUUUUAAACCGGUUGAAAGAAAGUCACUUGAAUACGAUAAUACAGUGAAUUCUUUUGUUUCAUGUCAUAACUUGCCACGUGGUACGGCAACUGGUGGAUUGCAAGCGGCGAUGUAAGUGGUGCGGGCUGAGCUGUAGCCGUGUAAAGUGAUGUUAUCAUGGCAGCGCGUUGUAUACCAGCCGGACUUGCUGCGCUGAUGCUGUUGAAGACCUAAACCAUGUCACAAGACCAGUGGUUGAUCUUUUAUUGGAAAUUCUUAUAAGUCCUGGUGAGUCGUAUCUGUUUUACCUGAUUUGAAAGAUGGGAAGUUUUAAUAGGAUUCAAAUGAAUAUAGUGCAAAAAGUUAUCUUUUGUUAACUUUAGUUAAAUCAGAAAUCGUAAUGAAUUGAAGUAAACAUUCUGAAGUAAAAUGAUUUGGAUUAUGAUUACUUAAAUGAAAUAGGCUUAGAAAAUGCCCGAAACAGUAAAUCAUUAGUGAGAAAAUUGGAGCAAAACAUUCUAAAUAAUGAUAAUACCGAAUUGGUAAUUGUUUAAGUGCGGUAAUAUUUCCUCGAGGUGUUGGUCGCUACAUUGUGACUUUAUGACUUGUGUGUGUGAAAGCAGGGUGCUCUGUCGUUUUGUGGUCGUGGACCAUGGUGGCCAUCCCGGGAGGGGAUGUUGUGACUCAUGACUGUUUUGUAGCGUAACCGCAGUUUGGGGAGGAAUAUUACAGUCUGUUGUGCUUUGCAGUAGAUGUGUAAUGUUGGUUGAUUUAAUUGAGUAAUGAAAGCUAUGAUUGACCUGUUUCGGAGCAACUCUGAUAGGAAGCUGCGCACUUGUAGCGUUCGGGGCUGCAGCCACUUUUGUGCUGCUCGUCUUAGAAACUACAGGUAUGCGGUCGAAGCCCAGAUUUCAUGUUGACUUUGUAUUUGGUCAUGACGUUGUACCUGAAUCUAAGUCAUGUUGAACUCCGGUAGAAUUAGUCAAACGAAUUAGAAAUUAGUGAUGUAGAAGAAAUUGUGUAACCCAUUGACCUGUUUCGGAGCAACUCUGAUAGGGAGCUGCGCACUUGUAGUGUUCGGGGCUGCAGCCACUUUUGUGCUGCUCGUCUUAGAAACUACAGGUAUGCGGUCGAGGCCCGGAUGUCGUGUUGACUUUGUAUUUGGUCAUGACAUUGUACCUGAAUCUAAGUCAAGUUGACCUCCGGUAGAAUUAGUCGAACUACACAAAUUAGAAAUUAGUGAUAUAAAAGAAAUUGUGUAACGCAUUGACCACUAUUCUACCAACUACAAUGUAAAGUUUGUGUGCUAGCUGUGUUGAGAUAUCGUCACUUGGUGUAAGUGGCAUGAGUUGCUGUCGCUCGAUUUAGGUGGCAGUGACGACUGUGUUGAGAUAUCGUCACUUAGUGUAAGUGGCAUGAGUUGCUACCGCUCGAUUUAGGUGGUAGUGACGCCUGGUUGUGAGAUAUCGUUACUCAGCUGAUUUUAGUGUAAAGAAUAAUUGGAUUUUCAAGAUUGGUUGUUUAUAGUGUGUGAAUACUGGUCAAUGGUCCGUUUACCGUGUCGGAGUAGUUGAUUUAUCAUGAUGUAAUGUGAACUCGUGUAGAGUCACGAGUAGAGCUCAUGUAGAGUCACGAGUAGAGCUCAUGUAGAGUCACGAGUAGAGCUCGUGUAGAGUCACGAGUAGAGCUCAUGUAGAGUCACAAGUAGAGCUCAUGUAGAGUCACAAGUAGAGCUCAUGUAGAGUCACAAGUAGAGCUCAUGUAGAGUCACAAGUAGAGCUCAUGUAGAGUCACAAGUAGAGCUCAUGUAGAGUCUCAUGUUAGGUCAGGAAUGACCGAGCGAACUUGGAUACUGUGCUGUGGUAUGUUGUUUCAGAUUCACACACGAGGACGUGUGUCGCGCAGGAUGGCCGUGUCGGAGUUAUUAUGAAUUAAGAAGAGAAAUUGAUCAAAUCGGAAAAUAAAAUGAAGUUACAUCACUUCCGUCAUGAAGUUGCAACGCUCCGACGAAAGGUGGUGUACGAGCAGAGCGGAGUGAAGUCGGGAGUCACUACAGAGUCGUCGUGUCGAGCGGACGUGCACUGCCGUUCUAGUCGGGCGGUCUACCGCGAACCAUCGUCUUGAGCGGACGUGUCGAAUAAUUACGAUCGGAACGUGGAGUGCUAUAGUCGCUCACCUAUAACUUGUAGGGACGUCAAGAAAGUGUGAUCGGAAAAGAGCACCUAGCAAGUACGUUCACAUGUCCCGAUGAUUCGGUCCGAAUGUUGGAACCAUGGGUGGUGGAGGGCCCCUUCGCGCUAACGUCCUUAUGCGCGCUAGAUAACGAGAGACUGUGUAACCGUUACGAAUACCGUGACGUUGCCGUGAGUGUGUACCUUAUGCUGUGACUUUAUUUAAUCGUGAUACAAAAACUAUGUGGAAGUAAAUAAAAUGAUUGUGAUACUGAUGACGGCCAUUAUUGUCUUCUAACGCCCACUCUUCAAACGCCCACCCUCCAUUCUGAUGAUGAUGUUACGACCGACCCCACCCCCUCUGCUACGACAUCAGAAGCGGGAUUAGUGGACUUGGAUGAAGACAACGUGAUGCGACGUUCACAACAAGACAAUGCAAGUUUCGAUUAUCACUAUCAGAAGAAGAUUAUGAUGAUUAUCACAUUCGUGUGACCACGUGAUGAAGAUGUAGUGUCCAUUGAAGAUGGACCUGAAUUUGAAGUGACCUGGACCUUGUUAAUGAUCGGCAUCACUACAUGCCGUAAGAUAUGAUGGCGCGAACAUCACAAUAUUUCCAUACUGUGUGCAGUCGUGUUUGGAAAUUAUGGUACCUCAACUUGGAAACUGUUAUUACGGUGAGUCGUUUUCAUACUGGAACCUUAUUGUUAUUGACUUCAUUGCUGGGUGAAUUUCCGUUUCUAAUAAUGAGGAAAUUGAUUUAAAAUUAACUUGGAAAUUAUUAUUU